CCUACGGGGGGCAGCAGUGAGGAAUAUUGGUCAAUGGACGAGAGUCUGAACCAGCAAAGUCGCGUGAAGGAUGACUGCCCUAUGGGUUGUAAACUUCUUUUAUAUGGGAAUAAAACGUUCCACGUGUGGGAUUUUGUAUGUACCAUAUGUAUAUGGAUCGGCUAACUCCGGGCCAGCAGCCGCGGUACUACGGAGGAUCCGUGCGUUAUCCGGAUUUAUUGGGUUUAAAGGGAGCGUAGGUGGGUUGUUAAGUCAGUUGUGAAAGUUUGCGGCUCAACCGUAAAAUUGCAGUUGAAACUGGCAGUCUUGAGUACAGUAGAGGUGAGCGGAAUUCGGGGUGUAGCGGUGAAAUGCGUAGAUAUCACGAAGAACUCCGAUGGCGAAGGCAGUUCACUGGACUGCAACUGACACUGAGGCUCGAAAGUGUGGGUAGCAAACAGGAUUAGAUACCCUUGUAGUC
rnacentral:rRNA from 1 species